rnacentral:misc_RNA from 1 species
AGCAGUUAGUUGUGUUCGAGCAUCUGCGAUCGUCGAAUUCUCGGUCGACAUUGUCUUUUUGCGCGCGUGUCUCAGUACUCCGUUAUUACGUUUUCAGUGUCAAAAAUGAACGAGCGCAAGCGUACGCUGAUAUUGCACAAACGGCCGACCGACGACGCCGCUGGAGGAAGGCCACUGCUCACCGGCGACGAGAUACCCAUACGGCGACCUCGGCAAGUCGAGGUCUUGCCGCGCAGUGCGGGCGCUGAUUUACAGAGAGCCAAGAUACUGCCGCCGCCGACGAUUUUACAACACACCGGAGGCAGGGAUGGGCCGAUCGUCACGACGAAAUUAGUAGCUUCAAAAGCACCGAUGCCAUCGUUCGAGGACCAUGCAAACCGUAUACGCCCGAAGCAAGAACAAAUGACGGAUAUUAAUAACGAUCAGCCUGAUUCCCCAAACAUGCGAGAUAGGGUAGAAAAAAUCGACCCCGAAACAUACAAUUCCUCUCGAGCUGAAGCAGACAUGGGGGUACCCGUUCAAAUAGUCCAAGCUCUACCAGAUCACACAUUCGAGCUCGAUGAAGAGGCCCUUGCUCGCAUACUCACCCAAGACGAUGUGAAGGAUCGCAGUGUCGUCGUGGUUUCCGUUGCCGGAGCUUUCCGCAAAGGCAAGAGCUUCUUGCUUGACUUUUUCCUACGAUACAUGGAAAGCAGAUACAUCCAUCAUGACACGUCUGACAAUUGGUUGGGUGGAGAUGACGACCCACUCAAAGGUUUCUCUUGGCGAGGAGGCUCGGAGCGCGACACCACCGGUAUCCUAAUGUGGUCAAAAGUGUUUCCAGCUACGCUCGCCAACGGAGAAAAAGUCGCGGUUGUACUUAUGGACACCCAGGGAGCAUUCGACAGUCAGUCGACAGUACGAGACUGCGCCACUGUAUUUGCCCUCAGCACCAUGCUGUCGUCCGUGCAAAUUUAUAAUCUCUCUCAGAAUAUUCAGGAAGACGAUUUGCAACAUUUGCAACUUUUCACUGAGUACGGCAGGUUGGCGCUGGAAAAAUCGGGCAGUACGCCUUUCCAAAGGUUGCAGUUCCUCGUACGUGAUUGGAGUUACCCCUACGAGGCCGACUAUGGCGCGGAAGGAGGGCGCAAAAUUUUGGAAAGGAGGCUUGAAGUUUCGACAAGGCAACAUCCAGAAUUGCAAAGCUUAAGAAGACAUAUCAGUUCUUGUUUCUCGGACAUUUCGUGCUUUUUGAUGCCACAUCCUGGCUUGAAUAUCGCUACGAAUCCAAAGUUUGACGGUCGAUUAUCAGAGAUUGAAAGCCAAUUUAAAGAACAACUAAAAGAAUUGAUACCUAUGUUGUUAGCACCAGAAAAGCUCGUAACAAAAAAGAUCAACGGUCAAACCGUCAAAGCUUCGUCUUUACUUCAAUAUUUUAAAAGCUAUAUCCAAAUUUAUCAAGGUGAUGAGUUACCAGAACCUAAGAGUAUGCUUGUGGCUACCGCAGAAGCCAAUAAUUUAUCUGCAGUGGCAGAGUCUAAAGACUUGUACAUGCAAAUGAUGGAAAACGUUUGCGGAGGUACCAAGCCAUUCUUAGCAACUGCACACUUGGAAUCAGAACAUGAACGAUGUUUGGACAAAGCAAUGAAUCAAUUCCAAAAGAAAAGAAAAAUGGGGGGCGAUGAAUUCAGUCAAAAGUAUUUAGACAAAUUGCAAAAGGACAUUGAUGAAGCUUUCCAACAAUUCAAAUCGCACAAUGAAAGCAAAAAUAUAUUUAAGGCUGGACGAACUCCCGCAGUGUUUUUCGUAAUAGCCGUAACCACGUAUAUUUUAUCGGGUAUAUUUGGUCUGGUUGGACUAUAUACUCUCUCAUACAUUUGCAACACCAUCAUGGGUGUAGCUUUACUGACAUUGGUUUUGUGGGCGUACGUUAGAUAUAGCGGUGAAUUCAGAGAAAUAGGCACGUCGAUUGACGAUUUAGCAACACUCGUAUGGGAAAACGGCUGGCAAACUUCUAAAUUAUUUUUUACACACAGACGACUUUUCGUUUCAAUGUCCAUCAUGACUCUUACACUCCCGAUAUUAGUUUUGAUCAUCACAAACUUUUAUCGCAUCUAUGAACAAACGUAAUUUUAUUUCUGUAAUAUAUGUAAUGUAUCAGCGCGAUUCACCAUUUAUUUUUGUUUACUUCUCGGGGUACAGUUAUCACACAUUUUAUUUUACUUCAUACAUUAACAUUUUCUUGCUAUUUAUUUUCUCAUACUACUUGUUAUCUUUUAUUACUUUUAUUUAUUAUAUCCCCAAACAACUUCAAGCAGUAUGAGAAUCAGUGCUCAAAAAAGGUCAUGAAACCAGUUUAUCAGCAGUUCGUAGAGAAAUCGGUAUCCGCUGCAGUGGCGCAAGCCGCUGAAAUGGCGACCAAUGCAACAGUAAA